AGUCCGUCGGUGGCUCCCGUUCCGGGUCGGUGGUGUGGGGUCCUCCUCCAGUGUCAGGUAGGGUUGUUUUGGAUUUCCCUUUUCUCGGUUCGUUGCUGGAGCUGCCCCGGGGGUCCCUGCCGGAGCGGUCCCUGCCGGAGCGGUCCCUGCCGGAGCGGUCCCUGCCGGAGCGGUCCCUGCCGGAGCGGUCCCUGCCGGAGCGGUCCCUGCCGGAGCGGUCCCUGCCGGAGCGGUCCCUGCCGGGGUUGCCCUGCAGGACUGUGCCGGAGCGGCUCCCCAGGAGCGGCUGCUACAGCGCUCAGGAUAUCUUGUUCUCUCUGGCAGUACGGCGUUCUUCAGUUUGUCAGGUGAAGCGGGAGUGUUGUCUGUUGGUUUGUAGUUUCAACAGGUGGGUUGCAGACUCGAGUUUGUGAGGUGGUUGUUCAGAAGUGUGGCGUUUCUGUGCGGGUUAAGAAGCCCACUGUGAAGUUUGCAGCUCUUCAAGUAUGUGGGAAGAAACAGAAAGGUUAGUGUCCUUGAGAGGCUUGAAUGCUUACUUUGAGUUGAAGUCAUCCAAAGUUGAGUUGGGUCAUCCAAAGAGGUAAGUGCAUUGUCUGUAGUUGAGUUUUUUCCUGUUGGGUAGUGUGGCCUUGUUAAGCAUUUCCUGGAAUAUUUGUUGUGUUUUGGGGUUGUUUACAGGUUUGGGUCUUUUUCUGUUUGUUUUCUUCCUGAUUUUUUGUUCCUGUUCCCUUUACCUUUGUGUUGGCUUUCUGUGGCAGUUUUGCUUGCCUUUUUAUUAGCGUUUGUUUUAGUUUUGUUUGGGUCUUUUGUUUGGUUUUGGUUUUUUUUUGCCUUUGUGUUUCAGUUGAUGUAUCAUUUACCUUUUCUUUUGUAUUCUGUGGGCGUUUUCUGUUUUCUCCUUUGUGUUAGCUCUGGAUUUCCUUGUGUGUUGUCCUUUACCUUUUGGUUCAGUUUUUCCUGGGUGUUCUCUUUGCCUCGGUGUUGGAUUUCGUUAUUCUUCGGUGGUGUUUUGAGUUUGUUUUAGCACUGUGUGAGUGUUUUUCUUAUGUUUCAGUUGUUCUUUGCUUCUGCUGCAUGUUUGGUUUGCCUUCGCGUUUGGUUUUGGUUUUCUUUCUUUGGUCUUGCUUUUCCCUGGGUUUUGCAUUCAGUUUGGUUUCGUGUUGUGCUGUGCAUUGUGACCAUUUUUGCAUUUGGUUUGGGUUUGCUUUGGUGUUCUACUCUGCGUCGCCUCUGCUUUUCUUUAAGGUUUCUGUAGUGCUGUGUUUGUUUUUUAGCUUUUUGGGGGUGCUUUGGUUUUUGCCUUCUGCAGGUGCUUUGCUGGUUUUUGAUUUUCUGUGGGUGUUUUCUUAGUUUGUUUUCCCUUUUAGUUCCUGUCUGGUGUUUUUUCCAUUACUUGUAGAUUUUUGUUCUCUGUUGGUGUCGUUAGGUUUGUGGUUAGGUUUCCCAUGGGUUUUCUUCUUUUGAUUUUCUGUGCUGUUUGUCAUUUGUUUUCUCUGAGUGUUGUGUGAGUGGUUUCCAUUUGUUUUGUCAUGCUGUUUGUGUUGUAUUUGUUUUGUUCUGUUAGGUGUUGUGUUUUGCUUUUGGCUUUGCCUUUGGUUUAGUUUCUCCUUGGUUUUUUGCUUGUUUUAGUCAUUGCCUUCAUGUUUUGCGGGCCCCGUUUUUGCUUUUGCAUUAACUUUCUGUGGGUGCUUUCCUUGCUUUUUGGAUGUAUUUUUGCUUUCUUUGCGUGUUUCUUAUUUUUUUUUGGUUCCUCAUGCUUUUGCCUUUGCUUUUCCUGCAUGUUAGCUUCAUUGUCACAUUGGCUUUUGUGUUCUGUUUUUGUGGGGCUUCUCGUUGGUUUUGUUUCAAGUUUUAUUGGUGUUUUGUCUUUGUGUUGUGUUUGUGCCCGUGUGGUAACUUUACUUUGUUGGGAUUUUUGUUUGUGGUUGGUGGGUUUUGUUCUUUUUCCGUUUGCAUUUGCUUUGUAUGGCUGUUAUUGUUGUGUCUUGCAUGUGGUGGUGGUGGUGUGUGUGUGAUUGCUUGUUUUUGUUUGUUUGUAUUUUACUGUGUCUUUUGUCCAUUUUUUCUUGUAGGCUUUCAUAGGCUUCUUUUUGUUUCUAGCUAUGGGUUUACUUAUAGUGGCUGUUGUUUGCGUUUGUUAUAGCUUUUUUUUGGGGGGGGGGGGGGUUGUUUUCAUUAUUUAAUUGGUUUGGUCUAGGUAUUUUCAUUAAUUUUGGCUCUUGGGUUUCUUUACUGUUCUUGUUAGGUUUUUUUGCCAGUUUUAGUGUUACCUUUCUGUGGUUUUUCUUUUUUACUGGUUUUUCUGUGUUUGGUAAUUGCUUUUUGUUUGUGUAUGUUGUGCUGUGUUCUUAGCUUGGUUUUUGAUCUCCCAUGGUGGUUUUUUUUGUCUUUGUUUUCUAUUCUGUUUCGGUUUUGCUUUCCCUUGGUUUAUUUAUUUGCAUGAAUUGUGUCGGUCUUUGCUGUUUCUGGGCCUUGUUCUUUUCUUUCUGCUAGCGGUUUCUUUUGCCCUCGUCUUUGACUUUUUGCUCGCUUGUCUUUCUAUUGCGUUUAUCUUGUGUGUGUCUUGUUACGCAAUUAGCUGUGCCUGUUUUUGUCUUUGUUUUCAUGCAGGGCUUUUGUCUUCUGUGGUUGUUGCCUUCAUUGCUGGGAUCGGAUGUGUUGGGGAUGUGUCUUUGACUUCAAUGUAAUUGUUGUGAAUGUCAUUCUAAUUGCUUUUCUUUACAGUUAAUUGGUGUUGAUCUUGAAGGGUUAUGCUAUUUGUAAUGCUAGGUGCUGUUCUGAUUAUUGAACUAAGUUGGCAGUAUAAUCUUAAAGGUUCAGUAGAUUUGGUUCUUAUGAACAGCUGUAUGCUUAGAAGGUGUUGUAGAAUGAGUAGUAAAAAACUUACUUGAAAUAAUCAUCACUUGAGUUGUUGCAUCUGUUUGUUGGGCUUGGCUGUCUGUCUUGUCUUCUUUGGGGUUACCUUCAACUUUUGCUGUUAGUAUGUGUGGAUUUGUAGCGGAUGGUGUUCUAGGUUUCUUGAUGGACUCAGUAAGUUUUCUUACUAACACAUGUAAUGUGUUUAUUUAUGUGUGAGUGUCAGUCCCAGUUGUUGAAUCAGUUUCUGGAUCUGUGACUUCACUGCCUUUGCUCUCAGUCUUCCUUCUUCCUCAUGUUAUUGUCUUUUUUUUUUGGUCAUGUUCUUCUUGCUGUGAUUUGUGUAAUUAUAUUUUUCUAUUCUUUGAGUUGCUUAUCUUCAAUUGUUUUGUGUAGUGUAGCGGUGGGCUUUUUUGGAGCAUCGGGUGUCUGGUUUUGUAUUUUGCAGUCUUUGCGUGUGUGUGUGGUGAUGCUACUUGUCUUUGUUAUUGUGCAUGAUCUUAUUGCUGUUGCGUGAAUUGUUGCUUGUUUUGAUUAUGCCAUAGCAUCUUGUCUUAGCUUGUGUGUUUUCUCUUGCGUUCUCAUAGGUCUUCAGUACUGAUCGUGCUUUGGAUCUGUGUUAUAGGUGUUGGUUUUGGUCAGUAGCUGUGUUUGAGUUGUUUCAUCUGUACUCUUAACACUUGGUUGUGUCUCUUCCUUUUUUAUAGUGAAGCUGCCAUCUUCUUCUGGAGAGCGUGGACAAUAAAUGUGCUAAACCCUU